rnacentral:rRNA from 1 species
AGAAUCAACGCUGGCGGCGUGCCUAACACAUGCAAGUCGCACGAGAAAGGGACUUCGGUCCUGAGUACAGUGGCGCACGGGUGAGUAACACGUGAAUAAUCUACCUCCGAGUGGGGAAUAACUGAGAGAAAUCUUAGCUAAUACCGCAUAACACUUACGAGUCAAAGCAGCAAUGCGCUUGGAGAGGAGUUCGCGGCCGAUUAGCUAGUUGGCGGGGUAAUGGCCCACCAAGGCAAUGAUCGGUA